GACGUAGGAUGCAAGCGUUGUCCGGAAUUAUUGGGCGUAAAGAGUUCGUAGGCGGUAUGUAAAGUCUGGUGUUAAAGCCCGGGGCUCAACUCCGGUUCGGCAUUGGAUACUUACAAACUAGAAUGCAGAAGAGGCAAAGGGAAUUCCUAGUGUAGUGGUGAAAUGCGUAGAUAUUAGGAGGAACACCGGUGGCGUAAGCGCUUUGCUGGUCUGUUAUUGACGCUGAGGAACGAAAGCCAGGGGAGCAAAUGGGAUUAGAUACCCCAGUAGUCCUGGCCGUAAACGAUGGAUACUAGGUGUUGAAGGUAUCGACCCCUUCAGUGCUGCAGCUAACGCAAUAAGUAUCCCGCCUGGGGAGUACGCACGCAAGUGUGAA
rnacentral:rRNA from 1 species